AACAAAUAUUUGUUUGACAAACCAAAAUACAAUUGCAAUUCCGUAAAAUAUUUAUUUUAAUUAUAUAUUUAAAUUAGCGGUGUACCGCGGGUUUUUUUUACGGGACGGAUUUGGCGAGACGGGUUUGGUAGGACGUUACUUAAUAACAAUUGUAAACUAUAAAAUAAAAAUAAAUAGAUUUAAUUUGCAAACUUUUAUAUAUACUAAUUUAAAAAAUAAGUUGUCCCCGCGGUAUACCGCGGGUUAAAAUCUAGUUUAAUAGUUAAACUUAUAGUAGGAUAAUAUCUGUCCAAAUUGAAUGAGAAUAGUUUCUCAAAUUUUUUCCUGGGAGAAACUUAAUUCUCUUUUUCUCCUACUUUUUCUUCCUUCUCUUUUACUUUUUCUUUUUUUAUUAUAUUUUUUUUAUUGGGUAUCAUUGAGAGACUACUGAUAAAAAUGCUCUAAAGUUUCAAUCUCGAAGACGAUCUCUCUUGAGUUUGAGCUCUCUCUGUCUCUGAGAUUAAAUCUUCUUUUGUUACGUAAUCUUUCUUAUUUCCCUUUUUCUUGU
rnacentral:sRNA from 1 species